rnacentral:rRNA from 1 species
CCUACGGGUGGCUGCAGUGGGGAAUUUUCCGCAAUGGGCGAAAGCCUGACGGAGCAAUACCGCGUGAGGGAGGAAGGCUUUUGGGUUGUAAACCUCUUUUGUUGGGGAAGAAGAUCUGACGGUACCCAACGAAUCAGCAUCGGCUAACUCCGUGCCAGCAGCCGCGGUAAUACGGAGGAUGCAAGCGUUAUCCGGAUUUAUUGGGCGUAAAGCGUUCGCAGGUGGUUGUACAAGUCUGCUGUCAAAGCGCGGAGCUUAACUCCGUACAGGCGGUG